UACGUAGGGAGCAAGCGUUGUCCGGAAUCAUUGGGCGUAAAGCGCGCGUAGGUGGCCUCAUAAGUCCGCUGUGAAAGUCAAAGGCUCAACCUUUGAAAGCCGGUGGAUACUGUGGGGCUAGAGUACGGAAGAGGCGAGUGGAAUUCCUGGUGUAGCGGUGGAAUGCGCAGAUAUCAGGAGGAACACCGGUGGCGAAGGCGGUUCUCUGGGCAUGUCCUGACGCUGAGGAGCGAAAGUGUGGGGAGCGAACAGG
rnacentral:rRNA from 1 species